rnacentral:rRNA from 1 species
UACGAAGGGGGCUAGCGUUGUUCGGAAUUACUGGGCGUAAAGCGCGCGCAGGUGGUCUUUCAAGUCAGUGGUGAAAGCCCGGAGCUCAACUCCGGAAAUGCCAUUGAAACUGUGAGACUUGAGGACGAGAGAGGUGAGUGGAAUUCCCAGUGUAGAGGUGAAAUUCGUAGAUAUUGGGAAGAACACCGGUGGCGAAGGCGGUUCUCUGGGCCUGUUCUGACGCUGAGGAGCGAAAGCGUGGGGAGCAAACAGG